UACGUAGGGUCCGAGCGUUGUCCGGAUUUAUUGGGCGUAAAGAGCUCGUAGGCGGUUCGAUAAGUCGGACGUGAAAUCUCCACGCUCAACGUGGAGGGGCCGUUCGAUACUGUCGUGACUCGAGUCCGGUAGGGGAGUGUGGAAUUCCCGGUGUAGCGGUGAAAUGCGCAGAGAUCGGGAGGAACACCCGUAGCGAAGGCGGCACUCUGGGCCGGUACUGACGCUGAGGAGCGGAAAGCGUGGGGAGCAAACAGGG
rnacentral:rRNA from 1 species